rnacentral:rRNA from 1 species
GAUGAACGCUGGCGGCGUGCCUAACACAUGCAAGUCGAGCGAGAUAAAUGUGAGUGGAGACUUCGGUCAGAGCAAUCAUUUUGAAAGCGGCGGACGGGUGAGUAACGCGUGAGCAAUCUGCCCCAUACAAAGGGAUACCCACUGGAAACGGUGAUUAAUACCUUAUAAGACCACGAAGUCGCCUGGCUUAGUGGCCAAAGAUUUAUCGGUAUGGGAUGAGCUCGCGUCUGGUUAGCUAGUUGGUGAGGUAAUGGCUCACCAAGGCGACGAUCAGUAGCCGACCUGAGAGGGUGAACGGCCACACUGGAACUGAGACACGGUCCAGACUCCUACGGGAGGCAGCAGUGGGGAAUAUUGCACAAUGGGCGCAAGCCUGAUGCAGCAACGCCGCGUGAAUGAUGAAGGCCUUCGGGUCGUAAAGUUCUGUCCUAAGGGAAGAAUACAGUGACGGUACCUUAGGAGGAAGCCCCGGCUAACUACGUGCCAGCCGCCGCCGUAACAC